rnacentral:ncRNA from 1 species
AGGAGCCGUGCGAGAUGAAAGUCUCAUGCACGGUUUUGAAUGAGAGAAAACCGUGAAAUGGAUAGGGAAAGCUUGAACCAUACACUAGGAAUUUUAAU